GACAGAGGGUGCGAACGUUGCUCGGAAUUACUGGGCGUAAAGCGCGUGUAGGCGGGUAAUCAAGUCAGGUGUGAAAGCCCCGGGCUCAACCCGGGAAGUGCACUCGAUACUGCGUAGCUUGAAUCUCGGAGAGGUUGGUGGAAUUCUCGGUGUAGAGGUGAAAUUCGUAGAUAUCGAGAGGAACACCGGUGGCGAAGGCAGCCAACUGGACGAAGACUGACGCUGAGACACGAAAGCGUGGGGAGCAAACAGG
rnacentral:rRNA from 1 species